CCGGCCGAGCUGGGGCAAACGCAGCCACGGGGACGCCGUCCACGCCUCCCGCUCAAGCCCGGUGUUCUCCCGCUGCGCUGCCACGCGCGCACGCCCUGACUCUAUGAUUCCCUCUCUCUGUCAACGCUCCAAACCUGUUUCUCUCUUGGUCUCUCUCUCUCUCUCUCUGUCUCUCUCUGCGUGGAGGAGCUCUUUGGUCAUCCCAUGCACAGAAGUAACACUUUUUUUUUUCCUCACGUUCACUCCGCCUCGACCCCCUCCGGGAGGAUCAGAGGAGUCUUUUUUGCGUUAGUUUUUCGGUGCUUGGGUUGUAGUUUUGUCCUUAUCUUUCCCAGCCGCUCUGUGGGAGUCCUGAAGCCGUGUCUCUGGCGGCUGAUCUUAUUCCGUCUGUCAGUGCGUCGGGAGCGACGCCAGACCUCUGGUGGAAUCCUUCUCGACGACGUAUGUAGUCCUUACUCAGAGCCACUGCCAUCCGACUGGCUGCCGAGACUACCUCCGCUGAACGCGCUCUCUCUCUCUCUCUCUCUCUCUCUCUCGCUCUUUGUUGCACUGUAGCAGUCAAGCAGAGAAAGCCAGCAGACCGGGUGAGAGGGAGGGAGGAGUAGGGAGUUGUUCCAGCCCUAAAGGUGUUCCAUGGCGUCGCUAGUCAUCCUUCAGCGAUACUAAUUCCUCCCCCUCUGCGCUUCUUUUACCGUUUCUUCGUUUAAUUUCUCUUUUUCUUUUCUUCCGUCCGGCUGCUUUCUUUCUCGUCAGUCAAACACUGCCUCAAACACAAACACUUCUCUGUGCUCCCUGCAUACCUCUCUCUCUCUCCCUCUUUAUCUUUCCACAGUUCUGCCUUUUGUUUGUCUUCCGUCUGUCCUCUACUCCUGUAUGGAGGUAUAUCCCUCUCUCCGCGUGUCUGGCUCCCUUGGCCUGGGGUCAGGGUGUGGGUUAAGUAUGCCUUACCCUAUAGGGAGGGUCGCCCACCCACGAGUCUCACAGACCUAUAUUUAAGGCUCUUCAGUCGCAUAGUCUCCUCAGUCCUGGGCAAAAAUAUCAAACAACAAAAUCGUAUCUCCGCCCACUCUGUUACUACAUGUACACCAUGUAGUUCAGUGACACAGGGUUUGGUGAUCAGCGGCUAGGGGGCUGGUUGUGUCACCGGAAAAAAGGGUAAACAACUCCCACUUCAGCCAAGCAAAUUACACAGUAUUACACAGGGAUUGACAAGGAUAUGUAUUGUUUGUAGGAUGAGGGCUUAGCCGGCGAGGACAGACAGCCCGACGGGGAACCCACAGCCUUGGGGAGAACGAGUAUGGCAGGGAAAGAAGCAAAGAAGAUGGAACCCAUCAACCCCCAAUCCCAUCUUCUCUCCAGCUGGCUCAGAAUAGAGUGUCAGAGGACGAGACAAGGAAGCAUGUGUCCUCCUGCGCCGUGUGUGUGUGUGUGUGUGUGUGUGUGCGUGUGUGUGUGUGUGUGUAUAUUGGUUCAGGUUUUACCUUAUCGACCCAUUCAGCUUGCCAGUUGUGAUGGUUUAAUUUUGUUCAUGUGCACGCAAGUGUGUGUGUGUUUGUGUGCGUGUGUUUAGAUUAGGUACUGUUUUGCUAUCUUUCAACAGCAUUUGCAGAAAACAGCACGGUUAUUCUCCUGUGGAGCCCUGGAAUACAGUGUGUGCGUGUGUGAGUGUGUGUGUGUGUGUGUGUGUGUGUGUGUUUGUGUGUGUGUUUGUGUGUUGUAGAGGGGGUUGCUUGAUCUUUGCGUGCCUCUUUCAGGAACAUCAGACUGACGAAGACCGGGAUCCGGUUCCUCUAGAGACCUGCAGGGACAAGACAAGAAAGAAAAUGGAGAGCGUGGCUUACUCCUUUGCGACCACACAGCAAUCCCUCCAGCUCACCAAAUACCGCUUUAAUCUCACGAUGCAUAUUCCUUGUCCUAGUGCCCCACCACCCCCAUCUUCAUCAUCUCCAAAAUAUAUAGGCUCCUGUGGCUCAAUGUUAUGUAGAGCAGUCAACCUCUUCUAAUUCCUUUUACCAUUUCAAUCAGGCUUUCCCUGUCUUUUUGUAUUCAACCACUCCCCCUCUCUUUUCUCUUUCUUUUUUCUUCUGUGCCGUUUUGUCUAAUGGAUAGCCCACGCUAACCCCCUGCCGGAAAUUCAUGCAACCCACAUAUUCUUGCUUCUAUCUUCCACCUCCUUUACGUUCCCCGAGCUUGGCGGUUGGUCGUAAUAAGCAUUCCCCUCAUUGUAAUGUUGUAUGUUGUGUAAGCAGGUUUGCAUUUAGAAACAAAUGGUUCCUUGCAGAGAGGGAAGGGCAACAGGUUUGAAAGUCUUGCUGCUGCUGCAAAAGAAAGUACUGAGCAAGCUUUUGUGGUCCUCCCUUGCUGUGCACACACACACACACACACACACACACACGCACACGCACACGCACACACACACACACACACACACACACACACACACACACACACACACA